GACUGAUGGGUGGGGCCAAAAAGGGUCAAUUUAGUUGACCGAAAUAUUUCAAAUCUCAGGUGACCGUUAAGGCCCUUUGGGCCUCUUGUUUUUAAAUAAAUGGUUGUAUGAUGGUUUUUUGUGUUUUCAAAAUCUGCCAUAUUUCUAGGGUUAAGGUCUAAUCGUGAGAUGUUAUAUUACUUUACAUGCAAAAGGAACAGUUUACAGUUACUGUGGCAUGUACAUAAGGUUGAAUUUUAGCUGAUAGUGUAUACUUCUUGGUCAGUGGUAGGUUGUCAUACCAGAUACCCGUACUUAUAUCUUUGGUCAGUCGUUGGUUGUCACACCAGAUACCCGUGCUUUGGUCAGUCGUAGGUUGUCACACCAGAUACUCGUACUUAUAUCUUUGGUCAGUCGUAGGUUGUCACAACAGAUACUCGUGCUUUGGUCAGUGGUAGGUUGUCACACCAGAUACCCGUACUUAUAUCUUUGGUCAGUCGUAGGUUGUCACAACAGAUACUCGUGCUUUGGUCAGUGGUAGGUUGUCACACCAGAUACCCGUACUUAUAUCUUUGGUCAGUGGUAGGUUGUCACACCAGAUACCCGUACUUAUAUCUUUGGUCAGUCGUAGGUUUUCACACCAGAUACCCGUACUUAUAUCUUUGGUCAGUGGUAGGUUGUCACACCAGAUACUCGUGCUUUGGUCAGUCGUAGGUUGUCACACCAGAUACUCGUACUUAUAUCUUUGGUCAGUCGUAGGUUGUCACACCAGAUACCCGUACUUAUAUCUUUGGUCAGUGGUAGGUUGUCACACCAGAUACUCGUACUUAUAUCUUUGGUCAGUCGUAGGUUGUCACACCAGAUACUCGUGCUUUAGUCAGUCGUAGGUUGUCACACCAGAUACUCGUACUUAUAUCUUUGGUCAGUGGUAGGUUGUCACACCAGAUACCCGUACUUAUAUCUUUGGUCAGUCGUAGGUUGUCACACCAGAUACCCGUACUUAUAUCUUUGGUCAGUCGUAGGUUGUCACACCAGAUACCCGUACUUAUUUCUUGUCAGGGCCCUCAGCUGCAGCAGGAAUAUGUUCCCCUCUUCCAUAUCAUUCCUUAAUUUGUAUUUUGACAGUUAUCAGUAAAAACAUACAUAAGAUUUAUGACUAUAAAUCAAAGCCAGUUUUAAUAAAAUUAUAUAUUAAUUAUUCUUCUGAGCUUUGAAUAUAUUUAUCAGUACUUAUUAUUUAGUUUGAUAACAAAUUUUACAACCGCUAGACCUUCCAGCAAAUGGACAUAUCCUGGUUUUCCUGGUUUCCGCAGUCCUAGGUAAAAAUCACAAUCUCGUUUAUUAUAAGAAAGUAAUAUAAUAGCAAUGAUCACACAAGGCUGAGGAUGCCUCAGAUCUGAUAUAUGAAGAGACCAGAGAGAGUGCAUAAAAAACCAAGGUUGUAUGGUAUGUUUAAGGUUUUGACUUUUGAAGGAAUUAAACCCCCGCUGACUUGUCAAAAUGUGAGUGCUCUAACCAUUGCGCCACAGGACCACCUGUAACCUUACCUGAUUUUGAAUAACCACAGAAUAUAUAAGUAAAUAUAUUUUCUUGUACAAUUUAUCUGUUGUGAAUGAGUUGGCAUACUAUUUCUCUACUAUAAUUGUAAAGAAGUGUAUAAAAUAUUUUAGUGCUUAAUUUUACUGUACACAAUGCUAGCAAUUUAGUUUCAUUGUUUUUUUUUUUUUGCAUAAUUAAAAGUGAUUCAAAAUAUCUGUGAUAAAAAUAACCUUGAUACAACAGGAAUAUCGAGGAUUAUCAAUUCUUAAUUCGAAAUAUUGUAUAGUUGGUAAUAUCCAUGGUGGAUUUAAUGUUUAGCUGUCGUUAUAAAUCAGCACAAAAAUAAAUACUCCAUGUACAGAA